AGAGUUUGAUUCUGGCUCAGGACGAACGCUGGCGGCAUGCCUCAUACAUGCAAGUCGAACGCCCCGCAAGGGGAGUGGCGGAAGGGUGAGUAACGCGUAGGAAUCUGCCUUGGAUUGGGGGAUAACCUGGGGAAACCCGGGCUAAUACCGCAUAUUGCCGAGAGGUGAAAGAAUUUUGAUCCAAGUUGAGCCUGCGUAUGAUUAGCUAGUUGGUAGGGUAAUGGCCUACCAAGGCAACGAUCAUUAGCUGGUCUGAGAGGAUGAUCAGCCACAAUGGAACUGAGACACGGUCCAUACUUCUACGGAAGGCAGCAGUAGGGAAUUUUGCGCAAUGGGCGAAAGCCUGACGCAGCAAUGCCGCGUGUAGGAAGAAGCAUCUUGGUGUGUAAACUACUGUCGGCGGGGAAAAACAAAAUGAUUGUACCCGCAGAGGAAGCAUCGGCUAACUACGUGCCAGCAGCCGCGGUAAU
rnacentral:rRNA from 1 species